AGAGUUUGAUCCUGGCUCAGGAUGAACGCCGGCGGUGUGCCUAAUACAUGCAAGUCGUACGCACUGGCCCAACUGAUUGAUGGUGCUUGCACCUGAUUGACGAUGGAUCACCAGUGAGUGGCGGACGGGUGAGUAACACGUAGGUAACCUGCCUCGGAGCGGGGGAUAACAUUUGGAAACAGAUGCUAAUACCGCAUAACAACAAAAGCCACAUGGCUUUUGUUUGAAAGAUGGCUUUGGCUAUCACUCUGGGAUGGACCUGCGGUGCAUUAGCUAGUUGGUAAGGUAACGGCUUACCAAGGCAAUGAUGCAUAGCCGAGUUGAGAGACUGAUCGGCCACAAUGGAACUGAGACACGGUCCAUACUCCUACGGGAGGCAGCAGUAGGGAAUCUUCCACAAUGGGCGCAAGCCUGAUGGAGCAACACCGCGUGAGUGAAGAAGGGUUUCGGCUCGUAAAGCUCUGUUGUUGGAGAAGAACGUGCGUGAGAGUAACUGUUCACGCAGUGACGGUAUCCAACCAGAAAGUCACGGCUAACUACGUGCCAGCAGCCGCGGUAAUACGUAGGUGGCAAGCGUUAUCCGGAUUUAUUGGGCGUAAAGCGAGCGCAGGCGGUUGCUUAGGUCUGAUGUGAAAGCCUUCGGCUUAACCGAAGAAGUGCAUCGGAAACCGGGCGACUUGAGUGCAGAAGAGGAGAGUGGAACUCCAUGUGUAGCGGUGGAAUGCGUAGAUAUAUGGAAGAACACCAGUGGCGAAGGCGGCUGUCUGGUCUGCAACUGACGCUGAGGCUCGAAAGCAUGGGUAGCGAACAGGAUUAGAUACCCUGGUAGUCCAUGCCGUAAACGAUGAGUGCUAGGUGUUGGAGGGUUUCCGCCCUUCAGUGCCGGAGCUAACGCAUUAAGCACUCCGCCUGGGGAGUACGACCGCAAGGUUGAAACUCAAAGGAAUUGACGGGGGCCCGCACAAGCGGUGGAGCAUGUGGUUUAAUUCGAAGCUACGCGAAGAACCUUACCAGGUCUUGACAUCUUGCGCUAACCUUAGAGAUAAGGCGUUCCCUUCGGGGACGCAAUGACAGGUGGUGCAUGGUCGUCGUCAGCUCGUGUCGUGAGAUGUUGGGUUAAGUCCCGCAACGAGCGCAACCCUUGUUACUAGUUGCCAGCAUUAAGUUGGGCACUCUAGUGAGACUGCCGGUGACAAACCGGAGGAAGGUGGGGACGACGUCAGAUCAUCAUGCCCCUUAUGACCUGGCUACACACGUGCUACAAUGGACGGUACAACGAGAAGCGAACCUGCGAAGGCAAGCGGAUCUCUUAAAGCCGUUCUCAGUUCGGACUGUAGGCUGCAACUCGCCUACACGAAGCUGGAAUCGCUAGUAAUCGCGGAUCAGCACGCCGCGGUGAAUACGUUCCCGGGCCUUGCACACACCGCCC
rnacentral:rRNA from 1 species